rnacentral:rRNA from 1 species
GACGAACGCUGGCGGCGUGCUUAACACAUGCAAGUCGAACGGAAAGGCCCUGCUUUUGUGGGGUGCUCGAGUGGCGAACGGGUGAGUAACACGUGAGUAACCUGCCCUUGACUUUGGGAUAACUUCAGGUAACUGGGGCUAAUACCGGAUAGGAGCUCCUGCUGCAUGGUGUGGGUUGGAAAGUUUCGGCGGUUGGGGAUGGACUCGCGGCUUAUCAGCUUGUUUGUGGGGUAGUGGCUUACCAAGGCUUUGACGGGUAGCCGGCAUGAGAGGGUGACCGGCGACAUUGGGACUGAGAUACGGCCAAGACUCCUACGGGAGGAAGCAGUGGGGAAUAGUGCACAAUGGGCGGAAGCAUGAUGCAGCAAAGCAGCGUGCGGGAUGACGGCCUUCGGGUUGUAAACCGCUUGCGCAUGUGACGAAGCGUGAGUGACGGUAAUGGGUAAAGAAGCACCGGCUAACUACGUG